CCGAACUAGUUUCUUCAGAGCGCACAAGGAUCUUGGUCGCGAGUGCUGGCACUUUUCGACACGUGAUCAUGCUACACCAAUAAGGUAGCUGCUUUUUGUCAACAGAGUUGCAAGAUGGCGUCCACCAUGCCUUCAUCGAGCAGUACGGAAGACGAAGAAAAUACACCGGAAUGUCUUAAUAAAUCAAAAAACAAACACUGUUUUAUGCAUAUUACUUCAGUCAAGCACGAAGAGGUACAUUAUUUCACCACUACACGAUGGAAUACAUACAGGACAAGCCUACAAACGUGGCUCGGCUCUGGAGGUGCAGUACCACAAAGGCUGUUAUAAUCAGUACACCAGGUUUUUGACGAGGCCUGAAAAACCAGAGAAAGAACAGAAUGAGCCCACGUUUGAUGUCAGCUAUAAGUUAUUCUGUGAGAGGAUCAUUCGCCAAAGGCUGCUUGUCAACCAAGAGGUGCAGAGAAUGGGCCAGCUGAGGAAGGCCUUCAUUGAACUGGUGAAAGCAAAUGAAGGUCUUAAAGCUUCAAACUACAGACAGGAUAUGUUGAAGAAGAGGCUGACUCGUGAUUUCCCCCAUCAGUAUCAAAAACCUAGAACGGUCAUGUAUAGAGCUGAUGCAGGGUCACAACGCAUGCAAAUCUUUGGCCCGGAUCAGAGGACCCCAACCCAAUUGAAAAAGUUUCUCUCAGAAGGAACAAAUACCGAAUUCCUGUAUGUUGUAUGGAAAAAUGCAGACCUUACAAUAGUGGGCAAAAACCUCUGCUUGCACAUACAAAUCAAUGUCACUGUGUGACUUUUAAGGAGGAUGUACAGUCUGUUUGUGUUGUUGAAGACCUGCAGUGUGAUCAUGAAGAAUGUGACACAAGGGUGUUUUUACAUGCACAACAUGCUGCACGGGAGCAUAAAGCUGUCAUUAUCAAGAGCUCUGACACUGAUGUGGCAGUCAUUGCUGUAAGUGUGCAGACAGAUUUGCCAUGCAGUUUAUGUUUUCACAGGGACUGGCAACAGGACACAUAUCAUUGACAUUACCAAGGUGUCAUCAGCUCUCGGAACCAGUGUGUGUUCAGCCUUGAUCGGAAUUCACACAUUCUCUGGGUGUGACUCCACAAGUGGAGGCAAAGGAAAAAGAAAGACAUUUUCUGUUGCAUGUGAGAAAGAUGAGUACCUAAAGGCUUUUACAAGUUUAGGUACUAACUUUAACUUGGAGCAGUCAACAUUUGCACUUCUUUGCCAGUAUGUAUGCCACUUAUAUGAUCAGCCAGCUGCCGAUAAUGUAAAUGAAGCUAGGUACAAGGCUUUCUGUAUAGCAUCAUCAGCCUUGCCAGAAUUAUGCAUUCCCCCUACU
ensembl:lncRNA